UUCAAAGACUAAAAGCCUUUAAAAAAACAAAUGUGAGCUAUAUCAGCUCUUAUACAAUAAAGUUUGGUGCAAAAGAAAAAAACUUGAACAUUAACAUCAGCUGACAAGGCAUGCUCAGCCAAUUCAUGGCACGAGUUAAUAAAUUCAGCACAGGCUUUGAAUCUGAGUCAACCCUUAUGUUCAUGAAACCUCUCGAUCAUGCCAAAAGCGAAGACCAAGCCAAAUAGCUUUCAAUUCAGCGCUACUAUAAUUGAACAUCCUCCAAGAUUUGAAGAAAAUCCGUAAAUAAAGGCACAUCUGCAGUUACUGCCCCAUCACAAUUAAGGGCAACUUCCCUUUCCUUGGGAGCUAUCCAUUUAAUCUCCACCAUAUUCGAAUUUAGGUGUCUGGUGUUUAUGAAUGACUUAUAAAAAGCAACACUCUCAUAAUAAGACCCUGCCAUAGUACACACCUUGUCUAUGGAAUCUUCCACAAACCCUUUGGAGAACCAUUCCACCACAUAACACCAAAUAUAAGACUCCACUGUAGGCCGUGAACCUCC
rnacentral:lncRNA from 1 species